UACAGAGGUCUCAAGCGUUGUUCGGACUCAUUGGGCGUAAAGGGUGCGUAGGCGGCGCGGUAAGUCGGGUGUGAAAUCUCGGAGCUUAACUCCGAAACUGCAUUCGAUACUGCCGUGCUUGAGGACUGGAGAGGAGACUGGAAUUUACGGUGUAGCGGUGAAAUGCGUAGAUAUCGGGAGGAACACCAGUGGCGAAGGCGGCGAUCUGGGUCGAUACUGACGCUGAGGUGCGAAAGCGUGGGGAGCAAACAGG
rnacentral:rRNA from 1 species